rnacentral:rRNA from 1 species
AACGUAGGAGACAAACGUUAUCCGGAGUUACUGGGCGUAAAGGGCGUGUAGGUGGUUUCGUAAGUCUGGCGUGAAAUUUUUCGGCUUAACCGGGAAAGGUCGUCGGAUACUGCGGAGCUAGAGGACGGUAGAGGCGUGUGGAAUUCCGGGUGUAGCGGUGAAAUGCGUAGAGAUCCGGAGGAACACCAGUGGCGAAGGCGACACGCUGGGCCGUACCUGACACUGAUGCGCGACAGCAUGGGGAGCAAACAGG